UGCGUAGGUGGUUCUGUGUGUCGGAUGUGAAAGCCCAUUGCUCAACAAUGGAAUUGCAUUCGAAACUGCGGAACUAGAGUACAGGAUGGGAGAGCGGAAUUCUUGGUGUAGCGGUGAAAUGCGUUGAUAUCAAGAAGAACACCGGUGGCGAAGGCGGCUCUCUGGAAUGUUACUGACACUGAGGCACGAAAGCUGGGGGAGCAAACA
rnacentral:rRNA from 1 species